CAUGAUUGUGUCCACACGACGGCUUACUGAGUAUGUUGACUGGCGUCAUCCUCCCUCCAAUGUUUUGCAUCUGGCUUGAAGUGGUGGUCGUAACCCAGUUAGUUGGGAGGACUCAAUGGCAGACUCGACAUUGUUGACAUUUACGGGUGUUCUUAAUGAAUUUGGACCAUGAAGUGGAGUCUGAUCAGUCAUUACGACAUCAACAGUGGCAGGGGCGGAAUUACUACUAUGGCGUGGGCCACCGGAGGUAGGGCAGCAUGCCGGGUCGAGGAUGGCCACUGGGUCGACGAUGGAAUGGAGACCAGGGACGAGGACGGCGAGGCGAGACGGAGGUUUCGUUCAGAUGACACGGCCACCGGGUCAACGGCGGCGUGGAGAUUAGGGGCGAGGCCGAGGUUUCGUUCAGACGGCACGGUCGCCGGGUUGAUGACGGCGCGAAGACCAGGGGCGAGGAUGGCGGAGCGAGGCCGAGGUUCCGUUCAGAUGGCACGGCCAUCGGGAUGAGGAUGUCGCGGACCCCAAGGGCAAGGCCAGGUUCAUGGCGUGGUGGCGGCGUUGAUUGUGGAGGUAUUGUUUAGUUUCCAGGAGGUGCCAUCGUUGGGCUGUGUAGCAUCCUGGACGAAGGAGUCUGUCGACAGAACAUUUGUUUUCAACCGUCGAUCUAAUUGUAGUAUGGUGAUGUAACGUGGGCAGUUGGAUGGUAUUAUGUGGGUCUGAUCGAACGUGGGGGGUUAUCCCGUGUGCACUUUGUGGUGUGGC